rnacentral:rRNA from 1 species
GCCUAUGUCCAUAGCCGCCUGAACAUGUCCGAUCUCGGAAGCUAAGUAGGGUCGGGCCUGGGUUAGUACUUGGAUGGGAGACCGCCUGGGGAUACCGUGUGCUGUAGGCU